rnacentral:rRNA from 1 species
GAUGAACGCUAGCGGCAGGCCUAAUACAUGCAAGUCGAACGGUAAAUAUUGUAGCAAUACAAUAUGAGAGUGACGCACGGGUGCGUAACACGUAUGCAACCUACCCUUUACAGGCGGAUAGCUCGGGGAAACUCGAAUUAACCCGCCGUGGUAUCAUUGGUGGCAUCAUUGAAUGAUUAAAACUCAGGUGGUAAAGGAUGGGCAUGCGUCUGAUAGUUAGUUGGCGGUGUAACGGACCACCAAGACGAUGAUCAGUAGGGGAACUGAGAGGUUGAUCCCCCACACUGGCACUGAGAUACGGGCCAGACUCCUACGGGAGGCAGCAGUAGGGAAUAUUGGUCAAUGGAUGCAAGUCUGAACCAGCCAUGCCGCGUGCAGGAAGAAGGCCUUAUGGGUUGUAAAACUGCUUUUUGCCAGGGGAUAAAAUGGGCGUGCGCGCCUAAUUGAAGGUACCUGGUGAAUAAGCCACGGCUAACUACGUGCCAGCAGCCGCGGUAAUACGUAGGUGGCAAGCGUUGUCCGGAUUUUAUUGGGUUUAAAAGGGUGCGUAGGCGGUCUUUUAAGUCAGUGCUGAAAUACUCCAGCUUAACUGGAGGGGUGGCAUUGAUACUGGGAGACUUGAGUGUAGUCGAAGUAGGCGGAAUUGACGGUGUAGCGGUGAAAUGCUUAGAUAUCGUCAAGAACACCGAUAGUGAAGACAGCUUACUAGGCUACAACUGACGCUGAGGCACGAAAAGUGUGGGGGAUCAAACAGGAUUAGAUACCCUGGUAG